rnacentral:rRNA from 1 species
UACGUAGGGUGCAAGCAUUAUCCGGAGUGACUGGGCGUAAAGAGUUGCGUAGGCGGUUUAUCAAGCGAAUAGUGAAAUCUGGUGGCUCAACCAUUCAGGCUAUUGUUCGAACUGAUAAACUCGAGAGUAGUAGAGGUAACUGGAAUUUCUAGUGUAGGAGUGAAAUCCGUAGAUAUUAGAAGGAACACCAAUGGCGUAGGCAGGUUACUGGGCUAUUUCUGACGCUAAGGCACGAAAGCGUGGGGAGCGAACCGG